rnacentral:rRNA from 1 species
UACGUAGGGCGCAAGCGUUGUCCGGAAUUAUUGGGCGUAAAGAGCUCGUAGGCGGUUUGUCGCGUCUGCUGUGAAAACCUAAGGCUCAACCUUGGGCUUGCAGUGGGUACGGGCAGACUAGAGUGCGGUAGGGGUGACUGGAAUUCCUGGUGUAGCGGUGGAAUGCGCAGAUAUCAGGAGGAACACCAAUAGCGAAGGCAGCUCGCUGGGACGUUACUGACACUGAGGCGCGAAAGCGUGGGGGAGCGAACAGG